AUUGAACGCUGGCGGCAGGCCUAACACAUGCAAGUCGAGCGAGCGGCGGACGGGUGAGUAAUGUAUGGGAAACUGCCUGAUGGAGGGGGAUAACGACUGGAAACGGUAGCUAAUACCGCAUACCAUCAGAUGUGCCCAGAUCGGAUCAGCGAGUGGGUGGGGUAACGGCUCACCCAGGCGACGAUCCCUAGCUGGUGUGAGAGGAUGACCAGCCACACGGGAACUGAGACACGGUCCAGACUCCUACGGGAGGCAGCAGUGGGGAAUAUUGGACAAUGGGCGAAAGCCUGAUGCAGCCAUGCCGCGUGUGUGAAGAAGGCCUUCGGGUUGUAAAGCACUUUCAGCGGGGAGGCGUUACCCGCAGAAGAAGCACCGGCUAACUCCGUGCCAGCAGCCGCGGUAAUUC
rnacentral:rRNA from 1 species